rnacentral:rRNA from 1 species
UAGGCAUGCAAGUCGAACGAGAAAGUUUCCUUCGGGAAACGAGUACAGUGGCGAACGGGUGAGUAACGCGUGGGAAAUCUGCCCUUUUGUGGGGGAUAACAGUUCUAACGAGCUGCUAAUACCGCAUAAGCCCUUUGGAUCGCAUGGUCCGGAGGGGAAAGACGGCCUCUACAUGUAAGCUGUCGUAGAAGGAUGAUCCCGCGUCCCAUUAGCUAGUUGGUGGGGUAAAAGCCUACCAAGGCGACGAUGGGUAGCCGGCCUGAGAGGGUGUCCGGCCACACUGGGACUGAGAUACGGCCCAGACUCCUACGGGAGGCAGCAGUCGAGAAGCUUCCGCAAUGGGGGAAACCCUGACGGAGCGACGCCGCGUGAGUGAAGAAGGCCCUAUGGGUUGUAAAGCUCUGUCAGAUUGGGAAGAAAACUUCACGGGGAAUAUCCGUGAAGCUUGACGGUACCAUCAGAGGAAGCACCGGCUAACUCCGUGCCAGCAGCCGCGGUAAUACGGAGGGUGCAAGCGUUGUUCGGAUUCACUGGGUAUAAAGGGUGCGCAGGCGGCCCAAUAAGUCA